rnacentral:rRNA from 1 species
AUUGAACGCUGGCGGCAGGCCUAACACAUGCAAGUCGAACGAGUGGCGGACGGGUGAGUAAUGUCUGGGAAACUGCCCGAUGGAGGGGGAUAACUACUGGAAACGGUAGCUAAUACCGCAUACCAUCGGAUGUGCCCAGAUGGGAUUAGCUAGUAGGUGGGGUAACGGCUCACCUAGGCGACGAUCCCUAGCUGGUCUGAGAGGAUGACCAGCAAAACUGGAAUGGGGACACGGGCCAGACUCCUACGGGAGGCAGCAGGGGGGAAUAUUGCACAAUGGGCGCAAGCCUGAUGCAGCCAUGCCGGGGGGAUGAAGAAGGCUUUCGGGUUGUAAAGUACUUUCAGCGAGGAGGCGUUACUCGAAGAAGAAGCACCGGCUAACUCCGUGCCAGCAGCCGCGGUAAUUC